AACGAACGCUGGCGGCAUGCCUAACACAUGCAAGUCGAACGAGACCUUCGGGUCUAGUGGCGCACGGGUGCGUAACGCGUGGGAACCUGCCCUUAGGUUCGGAAUAACUCCCCGAAAGGGGUGCUAAUACCGGAUAAUGUCUUCGGACCAAAGAUUUAUCGCCUUUGGAUGGGCCCGCGUUGGAUUAGCUAGUUGGUAGGGUAAAAGCCUACCAAGGCGACGAUCCAUAGCUGGUCUGAGAGGAUGAUCAGCCACACUGGGACUGAGACACGGCCCAGACUCCUACGGGAGGCAGCAGUGGGGAAUAUUGGACAAGGGGCGAAAGCCUGAUCCAGCAAUGCCGCGCGAGUGAUGAAGGCCUUAGGGUUGUAAAGCUCUUUUACCCGGGAUGAUAAUGACAGUACUGGGAGAAUAAGCUCCGGCUAACUCCGUG
rnacentral:rRNA from 1 species